rnacentral:rRNA from 1 species
UACGUAGGGGGCAAGCGUUGUCCGGAAUCAUUGGGCGUAAAGAGCGUGUAGGCGGCCAGAUAAGUCCGCUGUGAAAUCUCGAGGCUCAACUUCGAGCUGUCGGUGGAAACUGUCUGGCUAGAGUCCGGAAGAGGAGAAUGGAAUUCCUGGUGUAGCGGUGAAAUGCGCAGAUAUCAGGAGGAACACCGGUGGCGAAGGCGGUUCUCUGGGCAUGAUCUGACGCUGAGGAGCGAAAGUGUGGGGAGCGAACAGG